rnacentral:lncRNA from 1 species
UCUAAGUCCUUAAUCAAAGAUUUUCCUAAUAGAUCAAACUAAACUGGUUGGUAAAUCCACCUUUACCCUAAAGUAUUUUAGGUGUGUAUCUCUGUUGCAGUAUUUCUUGUAUCACAUGCUAAUUAUAUCUUGUAUUUUUAAUUCUCCUUAUCUAUGAGGUCUCCCAAAGUAGGAACUACAUGUUCUGUCAUUAUGCCUAUUGCUUCCCUCUUCCCUCUAAUGCAUCCAGUAGAGCCUGGAACAUAAAUGAUACCUUUUUUUUUUUUUUUUUUUUGGUUUUUUUCAAGACAGGGUUCUCUGUGUAGCCCUGGCUGUCCUGGAACUCACUUUGUAGACCAGGCUGUCCUCGAACUCAGAAAUCUGCCUCCCUCUGCCUCCAGAGUGCUGGGAUAUUUGCCUUCAGCUUGUUACAAAAACAAGGUUUACAGUUGAUCCUAACAAAUGUAUCACAGUUUUUUUGUUCUUAGCAUUAAAAAAUUACAUUUAGACUCUAGACUUUCAAAUCUAUCAAUAGGAACCUUCUAGUCCCUCACUUAUCUAAGUCUCCUGAACCGUUACCGAGGUUGUGUUUCUAAGAUCAGAUAUCUAAAACUUGAUACUUAGGCUCAUGUAUGUAAAAUUGCUUGCCCAUCAAAAAUCAGUUCCUGUUUUAUAUAAAGAUACAAAAAGAAUCUUCAAAAAGAUUAAAAUCUCACCACAGGUAUCUGCAAAUGGGUGUGUGCACACAUGUGUGCGAGUGUACAUGUAGGGGAUUUUCUAUGUCCCCAUGUACGGGUGUGUGUGCAUGUGUAUGACGAUACAUGCAGUGGACUUUGUGUUCCCAUGAGUUGGUGUGGAUGCAUGGAUGUGAGUGAGCCUGGAUUUGCCAAUUUGUUGAGCUGUCUGGCCGGCAAGCUCCAGGGACCUCCUGUCUCUCCAUCUCCUCAGUGUUGGGACUAAGUGUGAGGAAUGGAAAUUCAACUCAGGUUCUCAUGACUCCAUGGCCCAUCUUGAGCCAUCUCCCUAGCCCCGCCCCCCCAUUUCUUUUUUAUUAUAGCAAGUGUGAAUAUUUUAAAGACCAGCAAAAUUUACAUGACUUCUGGAGGGACUGCUAAAAACUACAAAUAAGUUUUGAAUGUACUGUAUUAGCCUUCUGUGGCUGUGCUACUAAAAGUGUCUAAGACAGGUCUACACCCACAACUAAUCAUCUCUCCUGCUCUGUCCCAGAGCCAGCACCGGUCCCUGUGAUGUGAAGCUGAGGGACAGUAAAUAACAUUUUUAUUAUUUUUUUUAUUCAAUCAUCUUUUAGGGAACUACUCUGAAAUGGACAUAUGUUAACUUUUUUUUUAAAAGAAUCAUUAAAUUUGCAGAUAAAACCUGCCUGAGCUCUGGAAUGAGACUUCACCUACUGUGGAGAGAAUGAGGCAGCUCUGACUGACGCACACAGCCAGCAGUCGGGCCUACUACCCCUGCUUGGUCCAAACACCAGCAGGUGUUCAGCAGCAGAGCUUGCUCUUCUCUGCAAACUCGGUGACAUCUCAAGGGCCUUUUCCUUAAACCUUUUGGAGUUUUCUGUUAAAUAGUUAAUUUCAAUUAGUUAAUGGCAUUUCCUAACACUGGUACCAAGCUCUUUAGUUUAAAAAUAUAGGAGAUAAGACAUCUUUGCUUUUUAUAAGCUCUCUAUCAAUGCUAAGCUUUUCAGAACACAUAUGUAUUGCACACUUUUGAUGAUGAUGACUGUAACCCUUUGUAACUUGUAGAGAAAAUCCUCAGCAUCCUUGCAGUCACUCAUUUACU